CCUACGGGAGGCAGCAGUGAGGGAUAUUGGUCAAUGGGGGAAACCCUGAACCAGCAACGCCGCGUGAGGGAAGACGGUUUUCGGAUUGGAAACCUCUGUCCUCCGGGAAGAUAAUGACGGUAGCAGAGGAGGAAGUUCCGGCUAACUACGUGCCAGCAGCCGUGGUAAUGAGUAGGGAGCAAGCGUUGUCCGGAUUUACUGGGUGUAAAGGGUGCGUAGGCGGCUUUGCAAGUCAGGAGUGAAAUACAUGGGGUUAAACCAUGAACUGCUUUUGAAACUGCUGAGCUUGAGUGGAAUAGAGGUAGGCGGAAUUCGCGGUGUAGCGGUGAAAUGCGUAGAGAUCGGGAGGAACACCAGUGGCGAAGGCGGCCUGCUGGGCUCUAACUGGCGCUGAGGCACGAAAGCGUGGGUAGCAAACAGGAUUAGAUACCCCAGUAGUC
rnacentral:rRNA from 1 species